AUUUUUUUUGGUUCUUGAAGAUUGUGAAUCAAUUUAAUUGCUUUUUAAUUUCAAACUUUACAGGAAUCUGUAAGGCGCCUCCAUAAUUCAGAGAACAACCCACACAAAUACGUUCCACAAACCAGAAUAAAUUCAUCACAUAACCUGGCAGUGACCACUUACCUCUUCGAAGAAUUAAGGUCAACUUUUACAGACGUUGACCCUGAAUGUGUAAAAGCAGGUUGGAAGAUGUAUUUUGAGACUUUGCGGAGGAAGUAUUCUUUGGCUCAGCCUGAAAAGGCCCAGAAAAGAAAAACUAUGACGAGCAUUGCAAAGAACCUUCAAAGAAAGCGACUGUUGCUGGAGACCAGGUCCGGGGUUGUACAAACCAACACAGAAAAGGAACUUUGGAAGACCGCAACAAUAGAACUGAUGUCUGAUGAAGAUGAUGCUAUUGUUGAUGGAAGGCCAGUGUGAAUGGUGAGGUAUCCACCAAUCUGCUCUCUGCUAGGUACUAUAAAACAGACUAGAGGCUGACCCACACUAUGCGUCACACCACCAGCGUAUCAUGGCAGUUUGAAAAAUGUUAACUCGUAUAAAAAAAAAA